GACGAACGCUGGCGGCGUGCCUAAUACAUGCAAGUCGAGCGCAGGAAAUCAUCCGAACCUUUCGGGGGGACGUUGAUGGAAUGAGCGGCGGACGGGUGAGUAACACGUAAAGAACCUGCCCUCAGGUCUGGGAUAACCACGAGAAAUCGGGGCUAAUACCGGAUGGGUCAUCGGACCGCAUGGCCCGAGGAUGAAAGGCGCUUCGGCGUCGCCUGGGGAUGGCUUUGCGGUGCAUUAGCUAGUUGGUGGGGUAAUGGCCCACCAAGGCGACGAUGCAUAGCCGACCUGAGAGGGUGAUCGGCCACACUGGGACUGAGGCACGGCCCAGACUCCUACGGGAGGCAGCAGUAGGGAAUCUUCCACAAUGGACGAAAGUCUGAUGGAGCAACGCCGCGUGAACGAUGAAGGCCUUCGGGUCGUAAAGUUCUGUUGUAAGGGAAGAACAAGUGCCGCAGGCAAUGGCGGCACCUUGACGGUACCUUGCGAGAAAGCCACGGCUAACUACGUGCCAGCAGCCGCAGUAA
rnacentral:rRNA from 1 species